rnacentral:lncRNA from 1 species
AUGCAGGUGUUUUCACCCAUUCUGUAUUUAUAAUCCCUGCUUUUAAGCAAUGCUUAGUGCAAGAGUUUAAUGGUCUGUCUUUUUUUUUUUCUCUGACAUUCUCUGCCCUGUUAUAUUACUGCCUUGCCCUUCAGUUUUACCCCACAAAGUCAUACAUGCAGUAGGAAGGAAGUCCUUAAGUUCUUAUGGAUGCUUUCUUAAGGGAAAUGUUUAGAAAUUCAUUCUGGCUGUGCAGCAAAUAUGCAGGUAUGAGCAACACAGUGCCUGGGGCUAUUGAUACUGAUCUGUUUGUGGAGUUCCAGUACAAGGACUAUUUGUCAGACAGGCAGCCCAGCAGAUUGUGUCUGGGUGAUAGUAUCUUUUGCAUGUUCUAGUGAUACUAAAAAGACAUAAAGGCACUGAGGACUUUGCCUGAAAAACAUUAGCAUCCUGUGUGAUUUAUUGAAGCUGUUUGUCUAAUCAUCACUGUGUUUUUUGUUUGUUUGUUUGUUGUUUUUUUUAAAUAGUAUUUCCUUUUUAUUUAUCAAUGGUUUCCGCUUUUGCUUUUUAGUUAUUUAUGGAUUUCCACUGAAUGUCUUGAGCAAUACACGGAGAAAUCAUCUUUGCUAUAAAAAGAACCAACAAAUUCCUUCCCAAAAGACUUCUGAUUGGUGCAGGGCAAAAAAUGUUUUUCUCUGUAGUGCACAUCUGUGAUAUUGUGUAACUUAAAUCUCUCCUGCUGCUUGACAUUUACUUACCCAGAGUGUAUCUCAGAGAAUGGGUUGUCAUUGUGGUGACAUUGUUCUGUGUUUCUUUUGUUUGUUUUUUGAAUAAACAUGGGUGCAUUAAAUGUAAAGAACUACGUUAGCAUGAAAUUAUUGCUGAAAUUUACACAGACAGAAGUCAGGAAAUUCAGAAUAAUGAUUCCCAUAACUAUCAUAACUUGUCCUUUUUCUUACAUGAGGUGUAUUAUUUUCUGUUACUCUAUGUAAGUGCUUGUCUGACUAAACACUGAAGGUUCUUUUCUCUGGCUGGAUGACUGCCUGUCUCACACAGCUUUGAAUUUGCAAACAUUGUGUCAUAAUUUUCACAGCAGUAGUUAAAUGUAAGUUCAGUGAAGUAAGUGUGGGGAGAAAUGGAUACCCUUCAGUUAGAAAUCCUCCUUCCUCAAAGGUUAUUUUAACCCGAAUGAAGAAAAUGUCAGGGACUGAAAUUGCCCAGGAGCCCUGGCUAUGGAGAACCAGCCAUUGUACCUUCAGUGCAAACCAAGCAGAAUGAAGCAAUUUUUUAUUUCUCCCCACAGGGUAUGUUUUCUUUUGACAUAGUUCACCUCAUGUAUAAUUAUAAAAUUUCUGUCCUAGAAAUUCUGCAUCACUGCUGUGGGGUUGCUGCAGCAGUGGUUUUUCACCUGGCAUAGCAGUAUUUUUUUUUUCUAGGUGAGAUUAAUUAACAGAAUGCACAGAAAUGCCAGCUAAUUUAAUUGAAUCCAAAGCAGCAGACAUGCUAGAUUAUCUAGGUUGGCAAAAUGGUAUGAAACUUCUCAGAAAAUGCGUAUCAAAAAUCUUUUCAGCCAGUGUUACUACAUAAAUGUGGAAAUACAAUCUGAGUCUGUGCUUAGCUUUCUUGAGGGAGCACUGCAGGUUCAAGAAGACAGACAUCUACAGAUCCCAAUCAUUUUUUGGAACUACUCUUUGGAUGUUCACUCAGCUAAAGUAGGAACAAAAAUACAUUAAGUACAAGAAACCUGGCGCAUUUGCAUUCUCGGAGUUUGUUUUAUUUCACAAAUAAACAUCUUCUUAAUUGGCAUAGGACACAGCAUGGCUUCAGAAUAACCAUGUCCUUCUAAGGGCAGGCCACGUAUACAAGAAAUCCUUUAGUGCUAUUAUUAACAAGGCUUUUAGUGGGCAGUAGGAGGAAGGAUCAUCAGGCAGUUGGUAAGAGUCCACAGAUGGGUUGUUACAAGGGACACUCAUAGCUGGCAUGAAUAGUUGAGUUUAUUGCAAUGCCCUGCAGUAUUUUGGUUGAUCUUCCUCUUCAAGAUGGUAUCUCCUCAGGCUUCUCUGCAGGUCAGCUGGCAAGGGAAUGUUUGGAUUUUACUUGAAACUAAAUUAAGCAUCCUUCAUUGUUCAGUUUCAUGCAUUUUUUGAGCUACUGUGAAAUACUAGAAAAUUCUAGAAAAUAUAGGUUUAUACAGUGAAUGCAGCUGAAGUCAAAGUUUGUUCAAUUAAUCUCUACAAUUCCACAUGGUAUUCAGUUUGCCUGAGAGUUACCCAAAGCUGACAGAAAGGUUAUUCUUUCGCAGUGUCUAUUUGGAGUUAUCUGUGUACAGAAGUUUGUAAAAGUAAUCCAGUAUAUGGUGAAUAAUGUUCUAUAACCACAUAUACCAAAAUCAAAUGAAAAUGAGCUUUAUCAAGCAUCCUCCAAGUAAAUUCAUUCUCGAGCUAAAACAUCCUAAGGGUAAUUUCUUUUAAUAAUUUACAGAAGUGACUCAUCUGAAAGUUCUUUCACCUAAUGACUUCUGCUGGUGGCACAAAGCUCCAGCGUCAUCAGCAUUCUGCACCUAAACCUGCCAUGUUCUGUGAAGCUGCCAGGUGCAUUAACUCUUGUCAACUUAACAGAGAUUUGUUGUAAGUGAAGCUGCCUCCUUCGUAAGAAGUUCAGGCUGAGACUUGACACUUAAUCUAAAUACUGAAGCUAGAGAGAUUUUCCUGGAGGUAAUUUUGAAUGAUUAUUAGCUGAUUAAAGUGGUUCUCUGUGUCAGUUUCAAUCAUGAAUUAGCCUUAUAUGUGUCAGAGUCAAAGUUUAUUGUUCUGAUUGAUAUUGGUGUGCAACUGACUGUUUUUCACAUAAAUUAGAAAGAACAGUCUGGUAAUCCCCUUUUACAGGCUGUAACAAAAUCCCUCAGAGGAACUCUGCAGACAGUCUAAUGCUAAGCAGCUAGAAGUUAAAUACCCUUUCUACCUUUUAUUUUUAUAAGGUAGACUGUCAAGUGUGCCAAAUCUGGAGUGUGCUAUGCAAGCUCAUUUAAAUAUAAAUAGGCAUUCUCCAAUAGUGAAAUUUUAAGUGUCAAAAAUCUAAUAUGACUGAGUUGGACAUUCAUCCUACUGACUGCAAAUGGAGCUGAUUGUAGCAAAUACCAAGUUGUUAUGAAUUUGCUGGACUGAAAUCAGAAGUAUGUUUUAUUUUAACCUAUAAUCACAGAAGUAAUGAGUUCUUGUGCCGUGCUGGAAGGACGUUGUACUUAAAUUUGUAGCAAAAGACAGAUCUGACUGUAGGAUUCUGCCUGCUUUGCCCAUUUUUGCUGUAAGCUGUUCUGCUAGAUCAUCUGAAUGGUUUGCCCUGAAAGGUUAGGGAUCAGAGCUUCGUUGAAUUUGAGUGUCCUAGCCAUGUUUCUGAGAAACUAAUCUAUUUUACUGAGAUCAAAGUAAGUAUUUUACAAUUUUAAUGCAAAACUAGAAAAGGAGUUUGGAAAUAACGUCCUUGCUGUACUUUCAUAAAAUUAGCAAUGUUAUGAUGAAAUAUUUGUUUUAAGUGAAAGUGGAAUAAUUUCAUUUAUGAAAAUGUUUAUUAAAUUUCAAGACUUAAAAUAGGAAUUCUGAUUGCUAGCUAUUCUGAUGCUCUCUUCAGUUUUCUUUUGAAAGCAUUAAUUCAGAACCCAGAAAAAUGACUGUAGUAAUAGGAUUCACAUCUGCAUUAACUUUAUAAACACAGUUACCUACCAAUUCUUGUACAGGAUUACUGAGAAUUCCCUAUAGGCUGGUGUGGUCUAGCUGACAUAAUUUUGGAUCGUUUACAAAUCUGUAUUUUUAGUAUCAAAAUGCUUGUACAUGGAAGGGCAUUUUUUGGGAGGGUAUAUAAUGGUGUGGAUUUACAGUUCGCUUUGUUUUGUCAACAUAUUAUUUUUGUCAGAAUUUCUUGUCAAAUUAUUUUUGAAAAUGAAUAUAAAUUUUAUUUCUGUAGUUCUUCUUCAGCUACUUUUCAUGCAAAAUUUAUUGCUUAUUUUGGAAGUUACUGUUGGCUUCUGAACCUCUCCAUGCAGCAUGCAAACAGGCUAAGCGAAAUGGCCACUGAGGCUCUAAUGUAGCACAGGCAGCUCUGCUGUAGUAGAGCAUGCUGUCUGUGAAUCCUUGUGUGAGAAUGGAGGAGACCUGACUUGCUGGAGCCCACUGUCUACCAUGUUGGUUUGGGCUCCUGUGUGUUUCCCAUCCCAAGGUGAAAAGGUAGAGAUACUGAAAAGCCAUGAUUGACUACUGCCUCUUCCAUGAAUUUAUCAUUUUCUGGACCUUCCAGGGAUGUGGUGUUUGCUUUGUGUUUACAUAGCUGCGUGUGAGUUCCUGAUUUACAGACUAUUGAGCCAGGAAGGAAGGGUAGCCAUAGGUGAGCACUGACACACCAUUCCUAUGCUCUGAUUUCUCAGUUUUGACCUUCUCCGAAUUCCUGUUUGCUGUUGUUUUCCGAUGUUUUCUAUAAAUUCCAAGUAUUGAUAACUCCAAAGAUACAAUAUUAAGAUUCUGUUUAUUACAUAAAAAUGGAAAAUGGAAGCAUUCAGUUCUUUCUCUGCAAUUCUGGAGUAAUGCAUAAUUCUGUACUUCUAUAUUAUAUUAAUGGUCACAUCAAUUCUCUAUUUUACUGGUUUUUUUGUUGUUGUUUUGUUUUGCGUGUUUGUUUGGUUGUUUUUUUUCCUGUCACUCUUCUUUGUACAUUAUGUCAUUUACAGUGCUUUUAGCUCUUCUGAAAUUUUUAUCCUGACGUUUCUCUGGGAGUGAGUGGCAGGUAGAUUAUUCUGGUUUUUAUAUUAGACUCAGCUAAAUAUUGGAUAUUUGGUAAAUGUUGCUUUUCCAUUUCUACAUUCUGCAUUUUAUUUCUUCACAUAUGAAUGAUCUUUUCCAGUCUCCAUUGAGGGGAAAAGGAAGGCUUUGCUGAAAAUUUUAGAAGUAACAAAAUCUUAUUUAAAGCUGUUUGUGUUUAUGAGAUAUUAUUAACAAACAAUAAGUAGGAACUUGAUGGUGGAGGGUGAGAAGAAGAUUCUUAAGAUACAAAAACUUUAAUCUGACACUUCUACAAUAUUUGAUAGAUUUUGAUACACUGCUUAGUACAAACUGACAAAUCAUAUUUAUGGUGUUAUGCAUUGUUCUAUCAUUGUUCUACAAUACAACCUAGAGGACAAGUCAACACAGACCUGAAUACUAAUUACAUUUUUAAAUAACUAUCCCCUGUUCAGUAAAUAUUGGAGAAAAUUGGGAUUUCUGAGUGUAUUGAUUUCUAGAUAACCUUAUGCUGCAUUUCCAAAAAUUGGUUUCCCUUAAAGAGUUAUAUAUUAAUACCUUUUGGAAAUUCAGGCAUUACAAUCAAUACUAGCUACAUUACAUUUUUUUUUCUUCUUCUGUAUAUAAUGGCCCAUAUAUAGUUUAGACAAAGGAAGAAAAUGUAAGGUACAGUCAUGUUUACUGUUUAAAAUACAUAAUAUAAUGCAUAUAUAUAAUAAUAUAAAAUAGUUAAAACCUUAAUUUUUUGUGUAUAUGCAGUCUUUUUCAUUUCCUUUCCUGCCUAUCCCUUGCACAAUCCCUGCAGCAACAGAGGGCAGUAUUGUUGAGUAAUACUGGAUUGUUAUUUUUUUGAUGAGUGGUGUUUAUAUAUGGAGAAAAUGCUGUAUAUUUUUUUGAAAGUAUUGGUUGCCUUUAUUAAAAAAAAAAAAAUGAGAUGGAGAUGCAUGAAAUGUCUUUGAAGGACCUGUACUUUAUGUCAGUGCUGAUUCCACUGUGUGGCAACUUUACGGUCACAGACCACUGAAGAAUACUAUUAUCAUUCUGAAUCUUUGAAAUUAUGAUUAUUUCAAAUAGGAUUAGGAAGAGGAAGAGAAGGGUCAAAUUGGAAACCACAUCAAUUUCUGUAGCUUGAUUCUUAAAAUAAGAUAAAUGAAACAUGACAUCAUGUUGUGUGCAUGAGUAAUAUUUAUCUCAUUCCACUUUUCUGUUCUGGCAAUGUCACAUGACUAUACUUAGCAGUUUCAUGUUGAGAAGAGAACUGGAUACAACACUGUGCUUAAGCAUAAAGGGCUCUUCAAAAAUGCACUGAAAAUUCAACCAAAUUGAAUGAAUUACUGUAAUGGUUAGAUGCAAAUGAAGCUUCUUUAAUAAACUGUUUCUCUUUUAUUUUCUGACCUCCUUAUCUCCCCAGUAUCCUUCACAAUUUAUUCAUUUAUUUUAUUUAUUAUGUAGUUUACUUUGAGGUGUACUUUACCAACCUAUAUCACUUAAGUUGUGUGUAAGUGAAAAAGAGAUAAAAAUUCUUUCAGGAAGGUUUCACUUUCAAGUGCAGUUAUAUUUAUGUAGUUAAUAAAUAAAUGGGAUAGGUAAUUUAAUUUUAUUUCCAAUUCUAGUAUUCUCUUAAGCAUUGUAAGCUUAUUUUCAGGUAUUCUUUAUUUCUGAGUUUCCAUUGGAGAAUUACACAGUCCAGAGGUAACUCUAGGAAACACACCUGUUCAAAACUUUAUUCUAAAAUUAAAUGUUAAUGAUUUUUCACCAAGAUGUGAAAUGAUUUAAUGUGAUUCAAUUUCACUUACUAUACUUAUUUUCAUAUGUUCCCAUUGUUUACCUAAUAAAACUAUGUUAGUUUAUCCCAAAAAUCAGUCUUUGCAUUCUCAAAACAAGAUAAUCCUUCCAGUUGCUCUCCUGACAUGCCAUUAUGUAAGCAGUUUAAGCGUGCUGCCAUGUAGAACACUGAUAUUUUGUGUGGCAAGAGGUUUGAGCUGUUGGCCAAAGAAAGAGGGAAAGAUUCAGGGUCUACCUUAUAUACAGUAUUCUUGCAAGCUAUUGCAGCUACCUUACUAUACUUAUCCCCUGCCCUCCCAAAUCCUGAAAAGAUGUACAGAAAUAGAAAGAAAUAUUAAAUCUUGAAAGAUUGGGCCCAAUUCCUGGACAUAUUCGUAACACUUUGUUAAAAUUUGUCUUAUUUUUUGAACAUAAUAGUAGAAUAGUGUACCAUUAAUGUUUAAAUGGACAAACAUCUUUCAGAGACCCAAUAACAUUUCUCUACCAGGUUGACAGGGUUUCCUUAUUAUUAUUUUUUUCUUGAAAAGAGGGAAAAUAACAAAACAGCUAGAAUCCAAAUACAUGUAUUUCUUAUCUGUGUUUUCAUAAUUAGCCCUGGAUCUCAGGGACUUAGAUAAUUUGGCCUUUUUUAAAACUCAUUGAUUCAACUGAAGAUGUGUAAAAUAGAAUAACACUAUGGAUACAUUUUUUUUUUUUUAAUCUUCUGUGCAGAUAAAGUAACAGUUUCUUCCAGGCUCCUUUGCUAUUCUAAUUAAUGAGAAGAUUUCCUAAACCAAUAGUUGGCUCCUAUUCCUAACGCUAAAGGGAUAUGACCCGACCUAUUUUGACUCUUCUAAUGCUGUAUUCAGUACUUUAUGUAAAAUAAAGAUGAUCGGAACAGGUGUUGAUGCUUAUGUCCUAUUAGAGACUUCUUAAGACAGCCGUUCAGUUUGAAUGUUACUCAGUAAGUUCAGAUGAAGCCUCUGUGGCAAAUAACACGUGUACUUGUGAAUAUUUGCAUAUUUUCCAAUUUUUAAUUUCAUUUUUUAAUUUCUUCCCUCUAAAUUCUCAAGGAAAAGUUUAGAAAUAUGUUGUACACAUCAGUUCUUCUGAAACCAGUGAAGAAUGAGAAUAGAGACACUUGCAUAUUGUUCUGUUUUGUUGUUUUUGUGAAUGGAAGAAGCAGAGCCAAAUAAACGGAUGAUUUUAUUACUCUGACUGGAUUUAGUAACAUGCAAGUAACAUGGCUAAUGGUGCUAAUAAAUGACUACUUCCUAAGGUCUAAUCAGAGCAUGUCAGAGCAUGACAGAAGGAAAUCUAAGUAGCAUUAGUGUUUUGCUUUGGUUUGGUUUUUCGAAAACAAGCAGAAAUAGUGAGAAGUUGGGUGCUUUGAAGAUCAAGAUUUUGGAAGAGCAGCUGUGCAUAUUAGGGUAAAAAGCGUUUAUCUUUUGGGUCUACAUUAUUGAAAUCCAUAAGAAUUAAUUUGUGUAGAGACCUCAUUAAAAAUUAAUUACUGAUUCUUCUCUUUCUUCAGCUUGACUUUGUACAUUCAUGAGGAGAUGGUAAAACAUCAGAGACUUUAAUGUAUGAACAUCCAUAAGAAAGUAAAAAGCAGAUUUGCAAAAUGUAAAUAGAUAUUUAAAUUAAGCCAAUUAAGAAAGAUUCUACUAAAUGCUAAAUGUUAUCUAGUAGCACAAUUAACUUUGUUAACAGCCUGGAAACUGUUCAAAAUACUGGGUAAGAUUGGUAGUGUUUGGAUGGAUGUGUUGGAGAACUCAUUCUCUUCUUUGCCUUUUUUUUAUUCAGUCACUUUUGAUCGUGAUUUACUUUAUUUAUUUAUUUAUUUAUUUAUUUAUUUUUGAGUGCCUGUUUAGGUAUUGGGAGGAGGAAGGGAUAGGUACAAGCUUGAAGAUAAAAUUCAUUAGAUCUUGAAGGUCAUAGAACUGAUCACCUUUAACCACUUAAACUAUUUCUGUCUAAUGCUAAGUAAGCGUAUUUUAUCUAUGUAUUUCAUUCAAGUGUAUUUAUUAAGGUUAAUUAUUUUCUAUAAUUUUCCAUUAAAUUUAAUGCAAAACAGCAGCAGUCAUAGUAACAUUCUCCUGAGAAAAUAGCGGUAUUCGGCAUUUUCAAACAUAACAAAUAUGUUCAAACUCAAGAUCUUAAUUAUGUGUUGAAAGUUAUGUUCUUUUUGGGGAAACCUUCAGAUGAAUUGCAUGUUCAUAAUGAAAAAGAAAUACCAGAUUUAAUAUAAUGGUUUUACUUUUCUGCAAAUGAAUGUUUUGGUCAGUACAAAACCAGCAAUAUUAGCUUCUCUUUAAGAAAAUAAUAAAAAGUGUAAAAGUAAG